GUUACUUUUCAAAAUUCUAUUACAACUAAUUUCAAAUAUUUUAUAUUCAGAUACUGCCAUAAGGAAUUUAAUCUUUGUUUCUUUGUAUCAGUCAAUUCGUAAAUUUCGUUGUCAUUGUAUAGGAGAAAGAACUGCUGCAUUCUGUGGAAUUAAAUUUCUUUUAAUGUGUAUUUUAAUUUAUGUGCACAUUUUAUUUGUACUCGCUAAUGAAACAGUAGAAAAAUACAAGAAUAUUCCAGAGUUGUUCGAUUUUAUUCCUGUAGAAAUUUCUACUUCUGGUAUUGCAAUGAUGGAGAUUUUUUUCUUUAUAAGUGCUUUUCUUCUCUCGUAUUCUCACCAGAGCAGUGUAAACUCAGUAAUGGAUAUUUUUGUCUUCUUGAGAAAGAAAAUCAUCA
rnacentral:lncRNA from 1 species